UACGGAGGAUGCAAGCGUUAUCCGGAAUGAUUGGGCGUAAAGAGUCCGUAGGUGGUGAUUCAAGUCGAUUGUUAAAGAGCGAGGCUUAACCUCGUAACAGCAGUGGAAACUGAAUCGCUAGAGAGAGGUAGGGGUAGAGGGAAUUCCCGGUGUAGCGGUGAAAUGCGUAGAGAUCGGGAAGAACACCAGUGGCGAAGGCGCUCUACUGGACCUCAUCUGACACUGGAGGGACGAAAGCUAGGGGAGCGAAAGGG
rnacentral:rRNA from 1 species